ACCGUCCCAUGCGUCGAUCUUAUCCUCGCGCCACCACGUUGUGGACGGGGGCUGCGUUUGCGGCACUUGCCGGCCCCGACGGUGGCGGAGCGGCGAGAGCGGGGGCAGGUGGCUGUGCGAGGACAAUGGCGUUCCACGCUCGGGCGUCUGAGCGGCGGAGCUUGCCUCUUCGGCGGCGGUGGCCGCCAGCGGGGCUCCGGCCGGCCACCGGGCCCUUCUUCUCGACCCUUCGCGGCGGUGUCCUCCUCGAGGCUUAAUUCUCUCUGGAUACAGCUGAUUCGCCCCCACUUUUGAGCCAAUGGAAUCAACGCCAUGUGCAAUGGGCGGCACCGAUGACGGCGCUGGUGUUCACUUGUCUCGUGGCCGCCGGCCUCUCUGCCCGUUGCAGCGCUGGUGAGAAGGAGAAGUAGCAGAGCUGCAGAGGCACUGCUGCAGCGCCGUCGUGGAUCCGCGCGGCAUUAGAGAUGUGAGCGCGGUCGUGGUGACAUACGAAGCAGCAAGCGCUGUGCGUGAAGGCGUGCGCUGGCUUGGCUCUGUAAAGAUGGAUAUCCACACGCCUCUGUUCCUCUCUCUCUCUCCGGACGCCAUUACGCCGUGAUUAUGGUGAACAUUGCACACGGUUCCGUAGCUGCAGACAAUGCCAAUUUCUUGCCGGUUCCCAACAUCAAAGGUGCGUAUUUCAUCACAUUCUGUUUUGAUGGAGCCAUGAUUUGCAAUUCAGAGAUUGCUAGCUCUGUAGCUUGAUUAGUCAUGAUCCCGAUGAAGAUCUCUAGCUGCGAUGCUGUAGGUUGUGUGUCUUUGUUUUUCUACCGCAUAGGUGGUACAGACUAAUUGUCAUUGCAGGAAAGGCAGCGUUCUCUGUGGACUAUGUCGUGAUUGCAGGAAAGGAAAAUUUAUCAAUUAAACAAAAAUCCUAAGCUUUUUAAUCCCAUCAAGAAUAAAUAACUUAAGAACAAUAAUAAGCACUUAUAUAUACAGCAAAAGUUAUUUUGCAUGGCUGUCGCAGGAAAUAUGUGGACUAUGUUAGAUACCUCAUAAACAGUUCCAUAUAAUAGGCUAGAAGCAUAUUUAAAUUAUUUUGUGUAACAAAAAUUAAACUUUGCAGUGACAUACAUUUUAUUGCCUGCAGUGGAGAUAAAUAGCCUUGCCAUGGUUUAUCUUCUCCAAUUUUUAUCACUCUCUUGUGUCUCAGCUAUGGGCUCUUGUUACCUUCUACUUUAUUUAGUAAUAUUUCACAGUAGAAUUAUUUUGGAAGCACCCUAUUUUCUUUGGGGAUUGUAUUUUUCUCUUCUUAAUUGCCAAUUUAUGCACAUCCUUUGAUUCAAGAGCGCUUAUCGAACAAAUUAUGUUGCAGUACCAUGUGUAACGAGAAAACUAGCUCAAAAUAAUGAUGCAAAUGAAGACGAUCAUGUGGAUCCAAACCACCAGAAAGUCCAUGGAGAUAUGCUUCAAUGAAUCCGACUUUUUAGAGUUAAUAUCUAAUUAAUUUCUAUAUUAAUUGCUGCAUCCAUGUGAUCAGUAUCGCUUUAUUCUCCUAGGUCCGGCCACGAUAGUCGCCGAUGUCGUUGCUGCGCUCGGCACAAUAGCUUGCCUCUACAGGCUGGCUCCCUCUGCCGCUGCCUCCGAGUUGAGAGGCUUACGAGCACCACAUCCUCUUAGCUCUCAUUGUGGAUUUAAUAUGGGUCACUUUUAUUGGAUGGAAAUUGCGCUUGAUUUAAUUGAGUACAUAGCCUUGAGAAUUGAACUCUAUAGAUCAAUGCAUAAGGAUAAAGUGUGCGUGCUACUAUAUAAUAAGCCUGCACUACUCUGCAAAUAGAGAACACAAGGAAGCUGAUGUCCAGGCAAGUGAAGAAAGAAUAAACUUUGGGGCAGUUUCUUACUGCUUUUCCAAUCCCUCUGUAAUUCAUGCUUUUCCUUGUUACUAGCUUCCAUUUCUUCAAGAGCUAUCAAUUCCAAAAAAAAUCUCAAUGCACGUUUCGCUCCUUUAGUUGUUGGGCGCACUGGUGCUCAACUCUUCCUCACUCAAAUGGUAUCUGACUGAGGAUAAAAUUUCAUGCAAGUGAAUAACACAAUCCAUUUAGAUGAUAAGUUGCUCUUAUUGAAAAUUGAUUUCUUUUCAUUUUCCAACAGAUUAGCAUUAGCAGAUUUUAAAAGUCGCAUUAUGUAUGCUAAUGUUUGAUAUAACUGUAUCCUUCCUUGCCAAAUGAUUCGUUAAACUUGAUCUGGAGCAUGCUAUCCAAUAAUGUUCAUCUCCCCUAAACUAUUUCUGCAUCUAUUCCUGUUUUUUGGUUUCUUGAGCUUAUCCGAGACAUGGUCGGCUGGAGAACAUCUUUAGUAAGCACAGAAAAGGAUCUUAUAAAGAUACAGUGCUUCCAUAACUGAUUCCAUUGCCAACUACUUGUCGUGAUAAAAGAAUAGCAUUAGAAUACAUCUUUCUGUUUCUGCAUUUGCAGCCCUCCCACCUUUCACUGGAUGGCAGUAAGUACAUUGUGAAUCUUGAACACAGUUCACUUGUAUUAUCAGAAGGCCCUGCAUUUUUCCUUCCAAGACUAAAAGUCAUUGCUUGGUUUUGUUACCUUCUGUGUGCACAGCAGCAGCAAGAUUCAACAAGGAGAUAAAGGCAAAAGAAUUAUGUCGGUUCAAAAGGAAGAAAUGAAUCUGCCUCAGCUUAAUUGCACAUGAUUUUGGACUCUCAACUCUCUCUGUAUCUAGCUAACAGUUCCAUGCUUCUAUAGAGUAGUUGUUUCAUCAGAUCCAAUUCACUUCCAUUUGUACCCACUAUACUCCUAUGACAAUUGACCUACAACACUAUUUUUUUGGUUGCCCUCUUUAUUUUUGGAACUAAUGAUAACGCCAUUUGGUAUACAAAGCUCUACACAUAGCCGCAUUUGGUCAUUUUGUUCUGCAUUCUCCGUCCCUCAAACAUUGAAAUGUUAGUCCACCUUAGGAAGGUGAGUCUUCGAAGCC